UACGUAGGUGUCAAGCGUUGUCCGGAUUUAUUGGGCGUAAAGCGCCCGCAGGCGGCUUGCCAAGUUCGAUGUGAAAUCUCCCGGCUCAACUGGGAGGGUGCAUCGAAAACUGGCAGGCUUGAGGCAGGGAGAGGGAUGUGGAAUUCCCGGUGUAGUGGUGAAAUGCGUAGAUAUCGGGAGGAACACCAGUGGCGAAGGCGACUUCCUGGCCUGUUCUUGACGCUGAGGCGCGAAAGCUAGGGGAGCAAACGGG
rnacentral:rRNA from 1 species